UGGAGCAGCCUGGUAGCUCGUCGGGCUCAUAACCCGAAGGUCGUUGGUUCAAAUCCAGCCCCCG
rnacentral:ncRNA from 18 species